CAGUAGCCGCGGGAAUACGGAGGGUGCAAGCGUUAAUCGGAAUUACUGGGCGUAAAGCGUGCGUAGGUGGUGGUUUAAGUCCGUUGUGAAAGCCCUGGGCUCAACCUGGGAAUUGCAGUGGAUACUGGGUCACUAGAGUGUGGUAGAGGAUAGUGGAAUUUCCGGUGUAGCAGUGAAAUGCGUAGAGAUCGGAAGGAACAUCUGUGGCGAAGGCGACUAUCUGGGCCAACACUGACACUGAGGCACGAAAGCGUGGGGAGCAAACAGGAUUAGAUACCCGCGUAGUCCCUGUCUCUUAUAC
rnacentral:rRNA from 1 species